UCAUGGCGUAGUGGUAACGCGCCCCAACUAGAGAUCGGGGAGUCGUGAGUUCGAUUCUCACUGA
rfam:Aedes aegypti strain Liverpool supercont1.5 genomic scaffold, whole genome shotgun sequence.